rnacentral:tRNA from 1 species
AGAUGAGUAGCUUAAAAGUAGGUAAAGCAUAAAUUUUUUAAAUUUAGGAUACCAUUUG